UGGGGAAUUUUGGACAAUGGACGCAAGUCUGAUCCAGCCAUGCCGCGUGCGGGAAGAAGGCCUUCGGGUUGUAAACCGCUUUUGUCAGGGAAGAAACGCUCUGGGCUAAUACCCUGGGGUAAUGACGGUACCUGAAGAAUAAGCACCGGCUAACUACGUGCCAGCAGCCGCGGUAAUACGUAGGGUGCAAGCGUUAAUCGGAAUUACUGGGCGUAAAGCGUGCGCAGGCGGUUAUAUAAGACAGAUGUGAAAUCCCCGGGCUCAACCUGGGACCUGCAUUUGUGACUGUAUAGCUAGAGUACGGUAGAGGGGGAUGGAAUUCCGCGUGUAGCAGUGAAAUGCGUAGAUAUGCGGAGGAACACCGAUGGCGAAGGCAAUCCCCUGGACCUGUACUGACGCUCAUGCACGAAAGCGUGGGGAGCAAACA
rnacentral:rRNA from 1 species